rnacentral:rRNA from 1 species
GAUGAACGCUGGCGGCGUGCCUAAUACAUGCAAGUCGAGCGAACAGACGAGGAGCUUGCUCCUCUGACGUUAGCGGCGGACGGGUGAGUAACACGUGGAUAACCUACCUAUAAGACUGGGAUAACUUCGGGAAACCGGAGCUAAUACCGGAUAAUAUAUUGAACCGCAUGGUUCAAUAGUGAAAGACGGUUUUGCUGUCACUUAUAGAUGGAUCCGCGCCGCAUUAGCUAGUUGGUAAGGUAACGGCUUACCAAGGCAACGAUGCGUAGCCGACCCGAGAGGGUGAUCCGCCACACUGGAACUGAGACACGGUCCAGACUCCUACGGGAGGCAGCAGUAGGGAAUCUUCCGCGAUGGGCGAAAGCCUGACGGAGCAACGCCGCCUGAGUGAUGAAGGUCUUCGGAUCGUAAAACUCUGUUAUUAGGGAAGAACAAAUGUGUAAGUAACUAUGCACGUCUUGACGGUACCUAAUCAGAAAGCCACGGCUAACUACGUG